CUGGGAACGCAGGCAGCCGGGACAGCCGCCCGACCUGAGCCAUGAGAUCACAAGCAAAGGGGUCAGCAGUCGAGGAAGACAGAGGACAGUCCAGGGUCUGUGAAAGGAUUCUAGCCCUUAACGUAUUAAAUGAAACCCCAGGAUUUAAUCAAGGAAAGGAGGCCAUCAGGAAAAUGAAAAUCAACUGCACAGGUGAGUUAAACUGAAAAUAAUCUGCACUUAGGAGCUGUGGACAAUGAUGUUUGGCUCAAGCUUUCACGAGGGAGACAA
rnacentral:lncRNA from 1 species